UACAACAUUAUCCAGUCAACCUUUAUGGCUGACAUGAAGAACAACAUGAGAAGUUCACUGGAGACGCAUCAACCACCAGCAAACAACAACUCUGCUCCUAUUUACUCAACUGGGCAGGCAACUCGGGGUGUUCUCAAUUGAGAACACCUAGAAUAGAGUCUUUUGGACCCCAAUUUCCACUUAACUUGGCCAGACUCCAAACCUUGGAUUUUCUAGGGUUCAUACAGUCACUUUUAGGGUUCGACCUUUUCAGGUUAGAUUCGAACCAAAACCUUGUUGGUUUAGGUACGAGAGAUGUUAGGGGAAUGCUUGGUAUUGAUUUGGGGUGAUUUGGUGUGAGUUGAAUCUGGGCCCGAAUCUUCAAAUGAAGAUUCAAGAAGGUUCUAUUUGAUUCGAGGUUAGGGGUUAGUGAAUUUGGCUUUAGGGUGUGAUGGGGGUUCUGUGGUGUUAACGGGGUGACCAGCGGCGUCGUUGCCGCUGGGUUUAUGGUGCAAAUUGCCUAGAGGCGGCUAGGGUUUUGGGGUUCUGGUCUCUGAGGGUUUGAGAUGGGGAAGAAGAAUGAUGAGGGUAGG
rnacentral:lncRNA from 1 species